CCGGCGACCGGCGCACGGGUGAGUAACACGUAUGCAACCUGCCCUCUUCAGGGGGACAACCUUCCGAAGGGGAGGCUAAUCCCGCGUAUAUCGGUUUCGGGCAUCCGAGAUCGAGGAAAGAUUCAUCGGAAGAGGAUGGGCAUGCGGCGCAUUAGCUAGACGGCGGGGUAACGGCCCACCGUGGCGACGAUGCGUAGGGGUUCUGAGAGGAAGGUCCCCCACACUGGUACUGAGACACGGACCAGACUCCUACGGAAGGCAGCAG
rnacentral:rRNA from 1 species